UUGACGCUGAUUAUGCUGGAAAUGUUAUUGGUAACUACCUUCAGUAAACCUGUUGCAAUGCCCGACUCCGCAAAAAUUCGCAUUCACGUUCCAGUAAAGCAUCACACGCAUCUGCAUACUAAAACUGUAGUGAAGACGGUCCAUGUUGGAAUUCCUGUUAAACCAGUGAAGCAUCACGAUGAUGAGGAUGAUCAUGGAUGGGAAUAUCCGAAAAAGAAGAAGUCUAGCAAUUAUCUUAAGCUACUAAAUAACUGAGACAGAAGUGUGGGACUAGCUGCAAUGUUACCUACAUUUGUUCACCUUUAAUAUCAGUUUGCCUAAGUUGUAUUUUUAUGAUGUUUGGCUUAGGAGACAAUUUGUUUAAAAAUAAAAGGGAUGAAUUCACUUUAUUUUUGAAUAUACCAUAGAAUGCAACCUACAUGCUGAAACUCACCGAUAAAUAUCCCAACGAAACGAAAACGAAACAAAUAAUGUGUUUUAAACAGCCAUUUGGAGUGUAUGAAAACUCAUAUGUGAAAGCUGCUUCUGGAAAUAAACAUUAGAUAAGAGUGUUAAAAUCAGUUAUGGCGCAAUUGUUUAUAUUGCAUAGAUAACUUUUAAUAUUAGGUGCCCUCAAAGCACUGCUAUAUGCGAAUCUAUCAAUAUUUCCAGAAGUUGGUCUUAAAAACAUAAUUAGUUAAGACACACGACACGAACUAGAGUAAAUAUUUUUUAUCAGAUAUUAAAUAGUUUAUUGCUAUA